GUAGAGUAGAGUGUAGAGUGUAGAGUGUUGAGUGUAGAGUAGGGUAUACUCUACACUCUACACUCUACUCUAC
rnacentral:pre_miRNA from 1 species